rnacentral:pre_miRNA from 1 species
UCUUAUGGAUGAUCAAAGAAAGUAGUUUCUUAAGGUGGAAUCUACCUCUGGUGAAGAUACUGUGAA